rnacentral:rRNA from 1 species
AACGAACGCUGGCGGCAUGCCUAACACAUGCAAGUCGAACGAGACCUUCGGGUCUAGUGGCGCACGGGUGCGUAACGCGUGGGAACCUGCCCUAGGUUCGGAAUAACUCCCCGAAAGGGGUGCUAAUACCGGAUAAUGUCUUCGGACCAAAGAUUUAUCGCCUUUGGAUGGGCCCGCGUUGGAUUAGCUAGUUGGUAGGGUAAAAGCCUACCAAGGCGACGAUCCAUAGCUGGUCUGAGAGGAUGAUCAGCCACACUGGGACUGAGACACGGCCCAGACUCCUACGGGAGGCAGCAGUGGGGAAUAUUGGACAAUGGGCGAAAGCCUGAUCCAGCAAUGCCGCGUGAGUGAUGAAGGCCUUAGGGUUGUAAAGCUCUUUUACCCGGGAUGAUAAUGACAGUACCGGGAGAAUAAGCGCCGGCUAACUCCGUG